UACGUAGGGUGCGAGCGUUGUCCGGAAUUAUUGGGCGUAAAGAGCUCAUAGGCGGUGUGUCACGUCGGCCGUGAAAACCUGCAGCUUAACUGUGGGCGUGCGGUCGAUACGGGCAUCACUGGAGUUCGGCAGGGGAGACUGGAAUUCCUGGUGUAGCGGUGAAAUGCGCAGAUAUCAGGAGGAACACCGGUGGCGAAGGCGGGUCUCUGGGCCGAUACUG
rnacentral:rRNA from 1 species